rnacentral:rRNA from 1 species
GACGAACGCUGGCGGCGUGCCUAAUACAUGCAAGUAGAACGCACAGUUUAUACCGUAGCUUGCUACACCAUAAACUGUGAGUUGCGAACGGGUGAGUAACGCGUAGGUAACCUGCCUGGUAGCGGGUGAUAACUAUUGGAAACGAUAGCUAAUACCGCAUAAUAUUAAUUAUUGCAUGCUAAUUGAUUGAAAGAUGCAAUUGCAUCACUACCAGAUGGACCUGCGUUGUAUUAGCUAGUAGGUGAGGUAACGGCUCACCUAGGCGACGAUACAUAGCCGACCUGAGAGGGUGAUCGGCCACACUGGGACUGAGACACGGCCCAGACUCCUACGGGAGGCAGCAGUAGGGAAUCUUCGGCAAUGGACGAAAGUCUGACCGAGCAACGCCGCGUGAGUGAAGAAGGUUUUCGGAUCGUAAAGCUCUGUUGUAAGAGAAGAACGGGUGUGAGAGUGGAAAGUUCACACUGUGACGGUAUCUUACCAGAAAGGGACGGCUAACUACGUG